GGAGGCCUACGGGAGGCAGCAGUGGGGAAUAUUGCACAAUGGGGGAAACCCUGAUGCAGCGACGCCGCGUGAGUGAAGAAGUAUUUCGGUAUGUAAAGCUCUAUCAGCAGGGAAGAUAAUGACGGUACCUGACUAAGAAGCCCCGGCUAACUACGUGCCAGCAGCCGCGGUAAUACGUAGGGGGCAAGCGUUAUCCGGAUUUACUGGGUGUAAAGGGAGCGUAGGCGGGAGUGCAAGUCAGAUGUGAAAACUAUGGGCUCAACCCAUAGCCUGCAUUUGAAACUGUACUUCUUGAGUGCUGGAGG
rnacentral:rRNA from 1 species